UUAGUUAGGUUUUGAAGAUUUUGACCUACAGUAGUCCGCCAUUUCUUUUUUUUCCAAAGUGACGGCCCCACAUAAAACCUCUAUUAAUCAAUAGCUGGCAUCAGUACAAACAAGUAUUGUAUGAGACAAAAUCUUCCAUAGUUUGCACUGGUGGAGUCAUCAGUACAACAGUCUAGCCACCAGUAUAACUUUGAUAAUAAUUCAUAUCUCGGGAACAUGACACUUUGAAAGAUUUUGUCUCAUACAAUACUUGUUUGUAUUGAUACCAGCUAUUGAUUAAUAUGCAGGUUUUAUGUGUGGCCGCUACUUU